GCGACCCCGGGGCAGGGGGGACUACCCGCUGAGUUUAAGCAUAUCAAUAAGCGGAGGA
rnacentral:rRNA from 1 species